GCGAGGAGAAGCAUGGUGGGGUCAACGACGUCGUGGAGGAAUGGGAGGAGGACGUCGGAGGGGGUGGGGACGGGGUCUCACGCUCGUCGGUGUCGGCGUAGUCGCUGUAGUCAACCAGGGGUGGGUAGAUCUAACAGGAGGAGAUAGGAGAGGUAGAGGAAGGCAGUAGCGGGUGGAUCUGCGGGGAGAGAGCGAGGAGGGGAAAAGAGUGGAGGGUAGGGUUUCAUGGACGGAUGGUGUAUUUAUUCGGAGGCCGGUUCAUCUCGGCCAUCCAACUUUGAUCUAAUGGCCAAAAAGAGGUGUGUAUUCAUGGGCCGAAUCAUUUAAACGGCCGAACUCAGACUUGUCUAAACAUACUUCACUAUUUAAUGUUUUUCAUUUUCUUUUUGCCAUUUUAAAGCAUCCUUCUAAAGUAACUUGCAAAUAAAUUAUCUUACAUACACUCAUAUAUUUUUAAAUAUAGUAGAUAACAUUUAAGUUUUCAUGUAGGAGUUUAAAGAAUUUUUGAAUAGAUUUAGUGUCUUCUAUCAUUAAAAUGAAUUUCUACAUGCUUAUCAAAAGUAAUUCCAAGUUAAACUGUGUGUACCACCA
rnacentral:lncRNA from 1 species